rnacentral:rRNA from 1 species
AGUGAGCGCUGGCGGUAGGCCUAACACAUGCAAGUCGAACGGCAGCACAGUAAGAGCUUGCUCUUACGGGUGGCGAGUGGCGGACGGGUGAGGAAUACAUCGGAAUCUACUUUUUCGUGGGGGAUAACGUAGGGAAACUUACGCUAAUACCGCAUACGACCUACGGGUGAAAGCAGGGGAUCUUCGGACCUUGCGCGAUUGAAUGAGCCGAUGUCGGAUUAGCUAGUUGGCGGGGUAAAGGCCCACCAAGGCGACGAUCCGUAGCUGGUCUGAGAGGAUGAUCAGCCACACUGGAACUGAGACACGGUCCAGACUCCUACGGGAGGCAGCAGAGGGGAAUAUUGGACAAUGGGCGCAAGCCUGAUCCAGCCAUACCGCGUGGGUGAAGAAGGCCUUCGGGUUGUAAAGCCCUUUUGUUGGGAAAGAAAAGCAGCAGGUUAAUACCCCGCUGUUCUGACGGUACCCAAAGAAUAAGCACCGGCUAACUUCGUG